GCAAAGGAGGACACACCGACACACACACAAUGCUGUGAUAAUAACACUGUAUCCGCCUGGGUUGUUGAGGUAACAACCACACAAGUUUAUUGUGAUCCAGCUUGGAAAUCCUGUAUCUUUCGGGCAUCAUUUUUCUCCUGAAAACUGAUGGCCCUAACAUCAGAGACGAUGACAGAGAUAUGUCUAGACCUGGACUGCUUCGACGAGGAGAGGAAACUGUACUCGGCAGAAUCACUGAAUGACCUCCACAAGAUGAACGUGUGCUCUGACCCCAAGGACCUGCUGAAACUCACAGAACAGCCAAUGAGCUCUCAGACCACACCCACUGCUGGGGAAAGAAGAGACUGCCUGGGUGGUGUGAUGCAGCUGGUAAAUGUACACAGUGCUGUUGGCAUCGAAGAGGAGCGCAUCAAGACUCGACACACCAGUGAUGUAGAGGAGGGCAGUAAAACAUCACACACUCACCCUCGACCCAGACUGUUCCUCAUCCUCUUCAUCCUCCUGACUUUGGCUCUGCUGCUGAUCCUGGUGCUGUCUGCCUACGCUGUCUUUCUCAUGGUUGAGACAACAUCUAGGAUGGGUGAGUUAGCAGGCGUUAGUGAGGUGGAGAGGACUUACCUGGAGGAGAUGAGACAGUGGAAGACUCUCCUUCAACAGUACCUGGACCUCAGCCAGAACCACUGCUCAUAGUGAGGAGGGAGCAACCCCCUAUCCACAUUGACAGGACCGCAGUGGAGAAGGUGGACAACUUAAAGUUCCCCGGCGUACACAUCACUGACAAACUGAAAUGGUCCACCCACACAAAUAGUCAGCAGUGCCUCUUCAACCUCAGGGGGCUGAGUGUGCCUUUGCACCUAAAACCCUCACAAACUUUUACAGAUGCACAAUUGAGAGCAUCCUGUCGGGCUGUAUCACCACCUGGUAUGGCAACUGCACCGGCCGCAACUGCAGGGCUCUCCAGAGGGUGAUGCGGUCUGCGCAUCACCUGGGGCAAACUACCUGCCCUCCAGGACACCUACAGCACCCGAUGUCACAGGAAGACCAAAAAGAUCAUCAAGGACAACAGCUACCCGAGAC
rnacentral:lncRNA from 1 species